AAGUUUCAACAACGGAUCUCUUGGCUCUCGCAUCGAUGAAGAACGCAGCGAAAUGCGAUAAGUAAUGUGAAUUGCAGAAUUCAGUGAAUCAUCGAAUCUUUGGACGCACCUUGCGCUCCUUGGUAUUCCUUGGAGCAUGCCUGUUUGAGUAUCAU
rnacentral:rRNA from 1 species